rnacentral:rRNA from 1 species
UACGAAGGGGGCUAGCGUUGUUCGGAUUUACUGGGCGUAAAGCGCGCGCAGGCGGUUCUUCAAGUCAGGGGUGAAAGCCCAGAGCUCAACUCUGGAACUGCCUUUGAGACUGUAGGACUUGGGUAUGGGAGAGGUGAGUGGAAUUCCGAGUGUAGAGGUGAAAUUCGUAGAUAUUCGGAAGAACACCAGUGGCGAAGGCGGCUCACUGGCCCGUUACCGACGCUCAGGCGCGACAGCGUGGGGA